rnacentral:rRNA from 1 species
UACGUAGGUGACCAGCGUUGUCCGGAUUUACUGGGCGUAAAGAGCGCGCAGGCGGUCGUUCAAGUCGAGUGUGAAAGCCCCCGGCUCAACUGGGGAGGGUCAUUCGAUACUGAUCGACUUGAAGGCAGGAGAGGGAAGUGGAAUUCCCGGUGUAGUGGUGAAAUGCGUAGAUAUCGGGAGAAACACCAGUGGCGAAGGCGACUUCCUGGCCUGUUCUUGACGCUGAGGCGCGAAAGCUAGGGGAGCAAACGGG